GACGAACGCUGGCGGCGUGCUUAACACAUGCAAGUCGAACGGAAAGGCCCUUCUUUUGUUGGGUGCUCGAGUGGCGAACGGGUGAGUAACACGUGAGUAACCUGCCCUUGACUUUGGGAUAACUUCAGGACACUGGGGCUAAUAUCGUAUAGGAUCUCCUGCUGCAUGGUGGGGGUUGGAAAGUUUCGGCGGUUGGGUCUGUAGUCGCGGCUUUUCAGGUCGUUGGUCGGGUAGUGGCUGACCUAGGCUUUGACGGGUAGCCGGCCUGAGAGGGUUGGCGGCAAGACUGGGACUGAGAUACGGGGCAGCAGCGUAGGGGAGGGAGCAGUGGGGAAUAUUGUGCAGUGGGCGGACGGCGGAUGCAGCAAAGGCGUGUGGGGGAUGAAGGCCUUUGGGUUGUAAAGCGCUUUCGCCUGUGAUGAAGCGGGGGUGACGGUAGCUGGUAAAGAAGCACCGGCUAACUACGUG
rnacentral:rRNA from 1 species